rnacentral:rRNA from 1 species
GACAGAGGGUGCAAACGUUGCUCGGAAUACUGGGCGUAAAGCGCGUGUAGGUGGAUUGGUGUGUCAGAUGUGAAAGCCCUGGGCUCAACCCAGGAACUGCACCUGAAACUACCAGUCUUGAGUGGUGGAGAGGGAAGUGGAAUUCCAGGUGUAGCGGUGAAAUGCGUAGAUAUCUGGAGGAACACCGGUGGCGAAGGCGGCAUCCUGGACCGGCAUUGACGCGUGAGGCG